UGUUGUUAAGGGACUAACGACAGCAAUGACCAAGCUCAUUGUGAUGAUGAUCACCUAGCGAUCCAUUGGCCUUAUUAAAAUAACUGUGCUGUUACUAGCGUCUUUUCGGGGCCAGUAGCGUAUAACUACAGAUAACCCAUAGGGUGCACUGGUUGCAGCAGCCUACAGCUCAUGAUCGACUGCUAGAUUUCGGUCGCCGCCGCCGCCGCCGCCGUUGCUGCUGCCCCUGGGUGAACGAGAAACGCUCGUUGGAUCACUAAAAAUGGCGAUGACAACCACACCAACAGCAACGGCUUCCCGUAUGCGGCUGCAGCAGCAAUCGCCUAGAUAGAAGAUCCGGGUGGCACAGCACGCGUCUCACCCAUGGGCUUUUUUUACUAUAAUAGCUUUUAGUUCAUCGCCGAAGCGAUCCUCAACGAUAGCAGCGGCUUGUGCCGGUGAAAAACAGAAGGCCACUGAAGGCAGGAACAACGGCAUCAGGCGCAAAACAAGUCAGUCCGUUACUGUUGUUGCCAUGUUUACGUGAUGCUGUCCGCAAAUGACUCCAAUUCUUCUCGUUUCAUCUGUCCGAGUCUCGUUAUUAUUCGAUGAGGUGUCGACGCAAAGCUAGGCACAGCUGACGUGAGGGCGUUAAAUCCAGCGAUAUCCUGAGCGACAAACUAUGGCGGGCCGUAUGCAUCACUUUUCGUCUCGUGAAUGUAUCUCGUCGCUCGCGCACGCAGCAAUGACUGUUCGUGUUCUCUGCUGUAUGUAGCCAGAGGGGUUGGACUGCGCGUGGGGGUAGGAGCUGGGAGUGAUGAAGCUGAAUGAGCGGGAAUGAAACAAAGAAGGGAGAGAAAUGGGCCAAAUGGCCAAUUCUACGACCAGCUAAGCAGUCAAACGUUCGCCCCCUAUCUCUAAAGUCGUACCACUCAGGAUUUUUCGGUAUUAAAUUCGUCGACAAAUUCGCCGUCGUGAAGAAAAUGAUAGGUAACUUUUUAAAGACGAUAUAAUCAUGGCUGAUAAGUUUUCGGUUCCGUGUAGUCGUCUGAUUGAUAAGCAAUAGUCUAACAGGCUUUGGGAUUCACGAUAAUCGUCGUCACCCUAUCGGUCGUCUGGAAGUUAUCGAAGAGAAUUAAUAACAGAUCUAUAGUUAACAGUUAGCUAGCGGCCAGCCGCAAAAUUAUCAA